GACAUACUCUCAAUCGAGACUCACCUAAACCCCAAAAUGAAAACACUUAUUUCAUGUCUAAACCCCCUCAUCUCUCGAUUGAGGAAAACCUAAAACCCCUUAAAAAAACUUUCAAACUCUCACAAAUAUAGACUUAUGAUUUACAGGAAAGGGGUUACCUUUAGUUCUUGGCUCUGAUGAAUGACAACUGCUUUCCUCGCACGAAAUGAUAAGGUCGGUUACUGGUGGGACCUUGUUGAUGGUUGGCACAGUAUAUUGAGGCACCUGAAGGGUGACGUGGAGGCUUCUAGACUCUUGGUGUAGCUAUAAGAUGAUAUCAUUGAGAAUUAAGACCCUAAAUGCUUGGUCAAAUCUGGACAUUUAGAUUCUCUUCAUAUCCAGCAGUUGAUCUCUAGGCGGCGCUGGAUAAAAAGGGGAGGGCUAGGGCUUCUCCCAAUGGCCUAAACCUUGGUUUGUCUCCAUUCUUGAGCCUACACUUGUUGGGCCAGCUGUAUCUUGGGCUCUAACCGAAUGGGUCUGCUCUGAUUCGGGCCCCUGUUUGGGUCAUGCAUGUAAACUUUGACUUGUAAAAGUUGAAUGAUAUCACUACCAUUUUUAUUUUGCUUA